rnacentral:rRNA from 1 species
UGAGGAAUAUUGCGCAAUGGGGGCAACCCUGACGCAGCAACGCCGCGUGAGUGAGGAAGGUUUUCGGACCGUAAAGCUCUGUCGAGCGGGAAGAAAUGUAUCGUGGCUAAUAUCCAUGAUAUUUGACGGUACCGCUAAAGGAAGCACCGGCUAACUCCGUGCCAGCAGCCGCGGUAAUACGGGGGGUGCAAGCGUUGUUCGGAAUUAUUGGGCGUAAAGAGCGUGUAGGCGGCCGAAUAAGUCAGAUGUGAAAUCCCUGGGCUUAACCCAGGAAGUGCAUUUGAAACUAUUCAGCUUGAGUAGGGGAGAGGAAAGUGGAAUUCCUGGUGUAGAGGUGAAAUUCGUAGAUAUCAGGAGGAACACCGGUGGCGAAGGCGACUUUCUGGCCCUAUACUGACGCUGAGACGCGAGAGCGUGGGUAGCAAACAG